ACGCUAGCUUGAAACCAAAACUUUUCUCUUCUUCUUCAGCAAAGGUAUUCAACCUCAAACUCCAUUUCGAGGCUUCAGGUUCGUCCAAGGAAAAAGCCCUAACACUGCCAAUUCGCCCUUCCAUUUUUUUUAAAGAUGUGUAAGAGAGGAUCAGUCUGCCGUUACAAUCCAAUUUACAACAACAACAACAUACCCAGUAUUAUCACAAUCCAGUUGUAUUAUCUAUAUAAUGGAAGUGCAAGACUUGGAUUCUAGUGAGGAACUACAGUUUAGCAUGAUUGAACUUGUUUGACUUGACUGAGCAAAGCACUGAAUCUGAUCAUGCUCUGAGAUUGUUUAGAAGAAGCAAUUUGGAUAAGUUGUGUCAUCGGCUGAUUGAUUCUUAUGGGCUUCCAUAUGUGGGCACUGAAUCUGAUCAUGCUCUGAGAUUGUUUAGAAGAAGCAAUUUGGAUAAGUUGUGUCAUCGGCUGAUUGAUUCUUAUGGGCUUCCAUAUGUGGCGCAGGUAACAGGAUGUCUUCUUCUUUUCUACUUUUUGGUGGGUUAUGUUGGCCCGCAGUUUUCUACUUUUUGGUGGGUUAUGUUGGUCCACAGGUAACAGGAUGUCGUCUUCUACUUUUUGGUGGGUUAUGUUGGUCCUGAACUAACAUGAUCAGUUGAUUACAGAGGAUAAAUCCAAAGCCAUAUUGUAGCAUUUACAAUGAAAUAACCAGUCAGACAACUAAUACGAAGUUGAAGGGUUCAGAACCUCCUGCUGUUGAUUAUGUCGUUGUCGUUGUCGUUGUGAAAAACGAAACACAUCUACAUAAGGUCCGGUCCCAUCAAGGGGGGAAAGCGUGGUGGAGGUAACUGAUUUUUGAAGAAAUGAAACGAGACUCACUCCUUGCUCAUGGAGCAGCAUAUUUAUUGCAUGAUAGACUCCAUACAAGCUCUGGUCAUCGCAUUGCAGAUGUGUUUUCUGAAUGUGGAAGUAUCCUAACAGCAUCAGUAACCCGAUCACCAAAAUAAGCUGUGCAAGAUAUUGUUGGUCUGCCACCUGCUAGAGAACCCAAAGAGGUAACUUGUCGUGCUUGCGAGACAAGUUAGGGAAUUGGAGGCUGUUGAAAUUUACAUGUUCAAAUAUAUAGUGGCUGAACUGGAAGCCAUGAACAUCAAGAUGACCCUACACUAAGUAACGGGGCUGGUGCUUGAUACGUGUUUCAGGAAGUUGAUAUGAUCUGUCCAAUCGCAGCUAGGAGCUUGACACCCAUUUCUUCCUAUAACUGUACUCUCCCACUGUGCAAAUGCCCAAAAUAGGUUUUGCAGCAUCAGAUAACUUGAUUCUGGCAAUGGUGAUUGAGUUUAGACAUCAAAAGGCUAGCUUGGUAGUAGGCUACCAAGACAAAAAGUGUUCUGCAAAUAAGACAUGGUUCUUGUCAUCUCUAUAGUGCAGUGUGGGGGCAAAAUAUAGAGGCAGAUCCAAGAUUUGAACUUGAUGGGCUCAACAUUUUGAAGUUCUUACGUUGAACCCGUUGCACUUUUAAACUUAUGGAUUGAGAGUUUAAUACUUGUUGGCACUUCAAUGAUUUUUCACAUACACAUCUAUACUCUGUGAAACAAAUGAUUGGUUUAGUUGAACCCUUCAAAUAUAUAGUGCAUCCGCCUCGGGCAAAUUUUGGAGAAUCUCAUUUUCAAGGAUCCUGAGUUCUACAAGUUCUCUUGUCUAUCUCGAGAGGUGCAAAAUAUAGAACCAAGUUUUUCCUGAAUAUGUGCUUUAUACUUAGUUAAUUAUAGCGUUUUGUACAUUGUAGGAAUUGGAUACAUAAGAUGUUAUCAAUGUUGAGGCUGUCUUGCAGUCAAUAUUUUUUAAAAA